rnacentral:rRNA from 1 species
UGGGGAAUAUUGGACAAUGGGCGCAAGCCUGAUCCAGCCAUGCCGCGUGAGUGAUGAAGGCCUUAGGGUUGUAAAGCUCUUUCGCCGGUGAAGAUAAUGACGGUAACCGGAGAAGAAGCCCCGGCUAACUUCGUGCCAGCAGCCGCGGCAAUACGAAGGGGGCUAGCGUUGCUCGGAAUCACUGGGCGUAAAGCGCACGUAGGCGGAUCGUUAAGUCAGGGGUGAAAUCCUGGAGCUCAACUCCAGAACUGCCCUUGAUACUGGCGAUCUCGAGUUCGAGAGAGGUUGGUGGAACUCCGAGUGUAGAGGUGAAAUUCGUAGAUAUUCGGAAGAACACCAGUGGCGAAGGCGGCCAACUGGCUCGAUACUGACGCUGAGGUGCGAAAGCGUGGGGAGCAAAACAGGAUUAGAUACCCUGGUAGUCCACGCCGUAAAACGAUGGAUGCUAGCCGUUGGGGGGUUUACCUCUCAGUGGCGCAGCUAACGCCUUAAGCAUCCCGCCUGGGGAGUACGGUCGCAAGAUUAAAAACUCAAAUGAAUUGACGGGGUCAUAGCUG